rnacentral:rRNA from 1 species
AGCGAACGCUGGCGGCAGGCCUAACACAUGCAAGUCGAACGGAUCCUUCGGGAUUAGUGGCGGACGGGUGAGUAACACGUGGGAACGUGCCCUUUGGUUCGGAACAACUCAGGGAAACUUGAGCUAAUACCGGAUGUGCCCUUCGGGGGAAAGAUUUAUCGCCAUUGGAGCGGCCCGCGUCUGAUUAGCUAGUUGGUGAGGUAAAGGCUCACCAAGGCGACGAUCAGUAGCUGGUCUGAGAGGAUGAUCAGCAACAUUGGGACUGAGAGACGGUCCAAACUCAUACGGGAGGCAGCAGUGGGGAAUCUUGCGCAAUGGGCGAAGGCCUUACGCAGCCAUGCCGCGUGAAUGAUGAAGGUCUUAGGAUUGUAAAAUUCUUUCACCGGGGACGAUAAUGACGGUACCCGGAGAAGAAGCCCCGGCUAACUUCGUGCCAGCAGCCGCCGUAAAAC